rnacentral:rRNA from 1 species
CCGAUAGUGAACCAGUACCGUGAGGGAAAGGUGAAAAGCACCCCGGAAGGGGAGUGAAAGAGAUCCUGAAACCGUGUGCCUACAAGUAGUCAGAGCCCGUUAACAGGUGAUGGCGUGCCUUUUGUAGAAUGAACCGGCGAGUUACGAUCCCGUGCAAGGUUAAGCAGAAGAUGCGGAGCCGCAGCGAAAGCGAGUCUGAAUAGGGCGAAUUGAGUACGUGGUCGUAGACCCGAAACCAGGUGAUCUACCCAUGUCCAGGGUGAAGUUCAGGUAACACUGAAUGGAGGCCCGAACCCACGCACGUUGAAAAGUGCGGGGAUGAGGUGUGGGUAGGGGUGAAAUGCCAAUCGAACCUGGAGAUAGCUGGUUCUCUCCGAAAUAGCUUUAGGGCUAGCCUCAAGGUAAGAGUCUCGGAGGUAGAGCACUGAUUGGACUAGGGGCCCCUACCGGGUUACCGAAUUCAGUCAAACUC